rnacentral:rRNA from 1 species
AACGAACGCUGGCGGCAUGCCUAACACAUGCAAGUCGAACGAGACCUUCGGGUCUAGUGGCGCACGGGUGCGUAACGCGUGGGAACCUGCCCUUAGGUUCGGAAUAACUCCCCGAAAGGGGUGCUAAUACCGGAUAAUGUCUUCGGACCAAAGAUUUAUCGCCUUUGGAUGGGCCCGCGUUGGAUUAGCUAGUUGGUAGGGUAAAAGCCUACCAAGGCGACGAUCCAUAGCUGGUCUGAGAGGAUGAUCAGCCACACUGGGACUGAGACACGGCCCAGACCCCUACGGGAGGGCGCAGUGGGGAAUAUUGGAAAAGGGGCGAAAGCCUGACCCAGCAAUGCCGGGUGAGUGAUGAAGGCUUUAGGGUUGUAAAGCUCUUUUCCCCGGGAUGAAAAGGAAAGGACCGGGAAAAUAAGCCCCGGCGAACUCCGG